rnacentral:tRNA from 1 species
ACCUAGGUGGCUCAGUUGGUUAAGCAUCUGACUUCAACUCAGGUCAUGUUCUCAUGGUUUGUGGGUUCGAGCCCCAUGUCAGGCU